rnacentral:rRNA from 1 species
GUGCCAGCAGCCGCGGUAAAACGUAGGAGGCGAGCGUUAUCCGGAUUUACUGGGCGUAAAGCGCACGCAGGCGGCUCUGUGAGUCGGACGUGAAAGCUCUCGGCUUAACCGGGAGAGGUCGUUCGAUACUGCAGGGCUUGAGGUAGGGAGAGGAAUGCGGAAUUCCCGGUGUAGUGGUGGAAUGCGUAGAUAUCGGGAGGAACACCUGUGGCGAAAGCGGCAUUCUGGCCCUCACCUGACGCUGAGGUGCGAAAGCGUGGGUAGCAAACAGGAUUAGAAACCCCUGUAGUCC